rnacentral:rRNA from 1 species
AUUGAACGCUGGCGGCAGGCUUAACACAUGCAAGUCGAGCGGUAGCAGAGGGGAGCUUGCUCCCUUGAUGACGAGCGGCGGACGGGAGGGUAAUGUCUGUGAAACUGCCUGAGGGAGGGGGAUAACUACUGGGAACUGUAGCUGAUACCGCAUAACGUCGCAAAACGAAAGAUGGUGACCUUCGGGCCUCUUGCCAUCAGAUGUGCCGAGGUGGGAUUAGCUAGUGGGUGGGGUAAUGGCUCACCUAGGCGACGAUCCCUAGCUGGUCUGAGAGGAUGACCAGCCACACUGGAACUGAGACACGGUCCAGACUCCUACGGGAGGCAGCAGUGGGGAAUAUUGCACAAUGGGCGCAAGCCUGAUGCAGCCAUGCCGCGUGUGUGAAGAAGGUCUUCGGGUUGUAAAGCACUUUCAGUGAGGAGGAAGGGGAGUAGGUUAAUACCUUCAUCAAUUGACGUUACCCGCAGAAGAAGCACCGGCUAACUCCGUG